rnacentral:rRNA from 1 species
GAUGAACGCUGACAGAAUGCUUAACACAUGCAAGUCAACUUGAAUUUGGGUUUUUAACUUAGAUUUGGGUGGCGGACGGGUGAGUAACGCGUAAAGAACUUGCCUCACAGCUAGGGACAACAUUUAGAAAUGAAUGCUAAUACCUGAUAUUAUGAUUUUAAGGCAUCUUAGAAUUAUGAAAGCUAUAAGCACUGUGAGAGAGCUUUGCGUCCCAUUAGUUAGUUGGAGAGGUAACAGCUCACCAAGGCGAUGAUGGGUAGCCGGCCUGAGAGGGUGAACGGCCACAAGGGGACUGAGACACGGCCCUUACUCCUACGGGGGCAGCAGUGGGGAAUAUUGGACAAUGGACCGAGAGUCUGAUCCAGCAAUUCUGUGUGCACGAUGAAGUUUUUCGGAAUGUAAAGUGCUUUCAGUUGGGAAGAAAGAAAUGACGGUACCAACAGAAGAAGUGACGGCUAAAUACGUGCCAGCAGCCGCGGUAAUACGUAUGUCACGAGCGUUAUCCGGAUUUAUUGGGCGUAAAGCGCGUCUAGGUGGUUAUGUAAGUCUGAUGUGAAAAUGCAGGGCUCAACUCUGUAUUGCGUUGGAAACUGUGUAACUAGAGUACUGGAGAGGUAAGCGGAACUACAAGUGUAGAGGUGAAAUUCGUAGAUAUUUGUAGGAAUGCCGAUGGGGAAGCCAGCUUACUGGACAGAUACUGACGCUAAAGCGCGAAAGCGUGGGUAGCAAACAGG